GAUGAACGCUGGCGGCGUGCCUAAUACAUGCAAGUCGAGCGAACAGAUGAGGAGCUUGCUCCUCUGACGUUAGCGGCGGACGGGUGAGUAACACGUGGAUAACCUACCUAUAAGACUGGGAUAACUUCGGGAAACCGGCGCUAAUACCGGAUAAUAUAUUGAACCGCAUGGUUCAAUAGUGAAAGACGGUUUUGGUGUCACUUAUAGAUGGAUCCGCGCCGCAUUAGCUAGUUGGUAAGGUAACGGCUUACCAAGGCAACGAUGCGUAGCCGACCUGAGAGGGUGAUCGGCCACACUGGAACUGAGACACCGUCCAGACUCCUACGGGAGGCAGCAGUAGGGAAUCUUCCGCAAUGGGCGAAAGCCUGACGGAGCAACGCCGCGUGAGUUAUGAAGGUCUUCGGAUCGUAAAACUCUGUUAUUAGGGAAGAACAAAUGUGUAAGUAACUAUGCACGUCUUGACGGUACCUAAUCAGAAAGCCACGGCUAACUACGUG
rnacentral:rRNA from 1 species